AGAUUGAACGCUGGCGGCAUGCUUUACACAUGCAAGUCGAACGGUAACGCGGGGGCAACCCUGGCGACGAGUGGCGAACGGGUGAGUAAUACAUCGGAACGUGCCCAGUAGUGGGGGAUAGCUCGGCGAAAGCCGGAUUAAUACCGCAUACGACCUACGGGUGAAAGCGGGGGAUCGCAAGACCUCGCGCUAUUGGAGCGGCCGAUGGCAGAUUAGCUUGUUGGUGGGGUAAAAGCCUACCAAGGCGACGAUCUGUAGCUGGUCUGAGAGGACGACCAGCCACACUGGGACUGAGACACGGCCCAGACUCCUACGGAGGCAGCAGUGGGAAUUUGGACAAUGGGCGCAAGCCUGAUCCAGCAAUGCCGCGUGUGUGAUGAAGGCCUUCGGGUUGUAAAGCACUUUUUAGUGGUAACGAAACGGUCCGGCCAAUACCCUGACUAAUGACGGUACCGCAGAAUAAGCACCGGCUAACUACGUGCCAGCAGCCGCGUAA
rnacentral:rRNA from 1 species